ACCCAAUGAUGUUCUCGCAUGUAUUACCUGAAUGUUGAAUAGUGACGAAUAAACAUGUUAGCUCUAGAAUUACACUGAGGGUAC
rnacentral:snoRNA from 1 species